UACAGAGGAUGCAAGCGUUAUCCGGAAUGAUUGGGCGUAAAGCGUCUGUAGGUGGCUUUUUAAGUCCGCCGUCAAAUCCCAGGGCUCAACUCUGGACAGGCGGUGGAAACUACCAAGCUUGAGUACGGUAGGGCAGAGGGAAUUUCCGGUGGAGCGGUGAAAUGCGUAGAGAUCGGAAAGAACACCAACGGCGAAAGCACUCUGCUGGCCGACACUGACACUGAGAGACGAAAGCUAGGGGAGCGAAUGGG
rnacentral:rRNA from 1 species